rnacentral:rRNA from 1 species
UAAGCAUAUCAAUAAGCGGAGGAAAAGAAACUAACAAGGAUUCCCCUAGUAACUGCGAGUGAAGCGGGAAAAGCUCAAAUUUAAAAUCUGGCGGUCUUUGGCUGUCCGAGUUGUAAUCUAGAGAAGUGUUAUCCGCGCUGGACCGUGUACAAGUCUCCUGGAAUGGAGCGUCAUAGAGGGUGAGAAUCCCGUCUUUGACACGGACUGCCAGGGCUUUGUGAUGCACUCUCAAAGAGUCGAGUUGUUUGGGAAUGCAGCUCAAAAUGGGUGGUAAAUUCCAUCUAAAGCUAAAUAUUGGCGAGAGACCGAUAGCGAACAAGUACCGUGAGGGAAAGAUGAAAAGAACUUUGGAAAGAGAGUUAAACAGUACGUGAAAUUGCUGAAAGGGAAACGCUUGAAGUCAGUCGCGUUGGCCAGGAAUCAACCUUGCUCUUUUGCUUGGCGUACUUUCUGGUUGACGGGUCAGCAUCAAUUUUGACCGUUGGAUAAAGGCUUGGGGAAUGUGGCAUCUUCGGAUGUGUUAUAGCCCCUGGUUGCAUACAACGGUUGGGAUUGAGGAACUCAGCAUGCCGCAAGGCCGGGUUUUUAACCACGUUCGUGCUUAGGAUGCUGGCAUAAUGGCUUUAAUCGACCCGUCUUGAAACACGGACCAAGGAGUCUAACAUGCCUGCGAGUGUUUGGGUGGAAAACCCGGACGCGUAAUGAAAGUGAAAGUUGAGAUCCCUGUCGCGGGGAGCAUCGACGCCCGGACCAGAAAUUUAUGGACGGUUCCGCGGUAGAGCAUGUAUGUUGGGACCCGAAAGAUGGUGAACUAUGCCUGAAUAGGGUGAAGCCAGAGGAAACUCUGGUGGAGGCUCGUAGCGAUUCUGACGUGCAAAUCGAUCGUCAAAUUUGGGUAUAGGGGCGAAAGACUAAUCGAACCAUCUAGUAGCUGGUUCCUGCCGAGU